CGAGUCCGGCAAGCUACGGCUUGUCAGUGAUGGCGAUCAUACUUCCCAGAAAGGCCCGGACUAUCGUAAAUUCUAAAUACUUGUACCCGAAACCGACACAGGUGGGGAGGUUGAGAAAACUAAGGGGCGCGAGAUAACUCUCUCUAAGGAACUCGGCAAAAUGACCCCGUAACUUCGGGAGAAGGGGUGCCACCGCAAGGUGGUCGCAGUAAAGAGGCCCAGGCGACUGUUUACCAAAAACACAGGUCUCCGCCAAGUCGCAAGACGCAGUAUGGGGGCUGACGCCUGCCCAGUGCCGGAAGGUUAAGGAAGUUGGUCAGGAGUAAUCUAAAGCUGACGACUGAAGCCCCGGUGAACGGCGGCCGUAACUAUAACGGUCCUAAGGUAGCGAAAUUCCUUGUCGGGUAAGUUCCGACCCGCACGAAAGGCGUAACGAUCUGGGCACUGUCUCGGAGAGAGACUCGGCGAAAUAGGAUUGUCUGUGAAGAUACGGACUACCUGCACCUGGACAGAAAGACCCUAUGAAGCUUUACUGUAGCCUGGAAUUGGCUUCGGGCUUCGCUUGCGCAGGAUAGGUGGGAGGCGUUGACAUUCCCCUUGUGGGGGGAAUUGAGCCAACGGUGAGAUACCACUCUAGCGAGGCUAGAAGUCUAACUUUCGCCCAUUAUCUGGGGAAAGAACAGUUUCAGGUGGGCAGUUUGACUGGGGCGGUCGCCUCCUAAAUGGUAACGGAGGCGUACAAAGGUUUCCUCAGGCUGGUUGGAAAUCAGCCAUAGAGUGCAAAAGCAGAAGGAAGCUUGACUGCGAGACCUACAAGUCGAGCAGGGACGAAAGUCGGUUUUAGUGAUCCGACGGCGCCGCGUGGAAGGGCCGUCGCUCAACGGAUAAAAGUUACUCUAGGAUAACAGGCUGAUCUCCCCCAAGAGUCCACAUCGACGGGGAGGUUUGGCACCUCGAUGUCGGCUCAUCGCAACCUGGGGCGGAAGUACGUCCCAAGGGUUGGGCUGUUCGCCCAUUAAAGCGGUACGUGAGCUGGGUUCAGAACGUCGUGAGACAGUUCGGUCCAUAUCCGGUGCAGGCGCAAGAGCAUUGAGAGGAGCCUUCCUUAGUACGAGAGGACCGGGAAGGACGCACCACUGGUGUACCUGUUAUCGUGCCAACGGUAGACGCAGGGUAGCCAAGUGCGGAGUGGAUAACCGCUGAAAGCAUCUAAGUGGGAAGCCCACCUCAAGAUGAUUGCUCUCACAGGGUUAACCUGGUAAGGUCACGGGCAGAACACCCGUUGUUAGGCACUAGGUGGAAGUUCAGCAAUGAAUGUAGCCAAGGUGUACUAACAGACCGAGGGCUUGAC
rnacentral:rRNA from 1 species